GCAGUCGAGCGGACAGAUGGGAGCUUGCUCCCUGAUGUUAGCGGCGGACGGGUGAGUAACACGUGGGUAACCUGCCUGUAAGACUGGGAUAACUCCGGGAAACCGGGGCUAAUACCGGAUGGUUGUCUGAACCGCAUGGUUCAGACAUAAAAGGUGGCUUCGGCUACCACUUACAGAUGGACCCGCGGCGCAUUAGCUAGUUGGUGAGGUAACGGCUCACCAAGGCGACGAUGCGUAGCCGACCUGAGAGGGUGAUCGGCCACACUGGGACUGAGACACGGCCCAGACUCCUACGGGAGGCAGCAGUAGGGAAUCUUCCGCAAUGGACGAAAGUCUGACGGAGCAACGCCGCGUGAGUGAUGAAGGUUUUCGGAUCGUAAAGCUCUGUUGUUAGGGAAGAACAAGUGCCGUUCAAAUAGGGCGGCACCUUGACGGUACCUAACCAGAAAGCCACGGCUAACUACGUGCCAGCAGCCGCGGUAAUACGUAGGUGGCAAGCGUUGUCCGGAAUUAUUGGGCGUAAAGGGCUCGCAGGCGGUUUCUUAAGUCUGAUGUGAAAGCCCCCGGCUCAACCGGGGAGGGUCAUUGGAAACUGGGGAACUUGAGUGCAGAAGAGGAGAGUGGAAUUCCACGUGUAGCGGUGAAAUGCGUAGAGAUGUGGAGGAACACCAGUGGCGAAGGCGACUCUCUGGUCUGUAACUGACGCUGAGGAGCGAAAGCGUGGGGAGCGAACAGGAUUAGAUACCCUGGUAGUCCACGCCGUAAACGAUGAGUGCUAAGUGUUAGGGGGUUUCCGCCCC
rnacentral:rRNA from 2 species